GACAGAGGGUGCAAACGUUGUUCGGAAUUACUGGCGUAAAGCGCGUGUAGGCGGCCCUGCAAGUCGGGUGUGAAAUCCCACGGCUCAACCGUGGAAGUGCACUCGAAACUGCAGGGCUAGAGUCCUGGAGAGGGAAGGUGGAAUGCUUGGUGUAGAGGUGAAAUUCGUAGAUAUCAAGCGGAACACCGGUGGCGAAGGCGGCCUUCUGG
rnacentral:rRNA from 1 species